CUCAGGGCUGUGUCAUGAUCCACAUAAACUCGAGGAAAGCCCAAAGAUGGUGUUCAAAUUUCAGAUCCUUGGACUUCUGCUUUUCUGGAUUUCAGCCUCUAGAGGGGACAUCGUGCUGACUCAGUCUCCAACCACCCUGUCUGUGACUCCAGGAGAGACAGUCAGUCUCUCCUGCAGGGCUAGCCAUAGUAUUGGCACAAAUCUACACUGGUAUCAGCAAAAAACAAAUGAGUCUCCAAGGCUUCUCAUCAAGUAUGCUUCCCAGUCCAUCUCUGGGAUCCCCUCCAGGUUCAGUGCCAGUGGAUCAGGGACAGAUUUUACUCUCAACAUCAACAAUGUGGAGUUUGAUGAUGUCUCAAGUUAUUUUUGUCAACAGACUCAAAGCUGGCCCCCACAGUGAUACAGACCAUAGCAUAA